CGCGACUUGACGAAACCGAGCGAGAUUGGGAACGUGUAUUUUUCUAACGGUCACGCAGGUGUCUCAAGUCAAGCAGGCUAUUUUGAAGAGGUAUUUAGAAUCCAGAAACAUGAUCAGGGCCGUUAUUCUGUACCCGACAACCCUGAGCCGAACCUGGGAGGCCCUUCCAGAGUCCCAAGCCACAUCUAAGCAGGCUUUCUCCAUCGUGUGUCCGUCCACCAGGACUUGAUUCUGGGAGAAAAUGCCAAUGGAUCCCGGGCCUACCAGUGUGUCGACUGCCCUUCUACUGCCUGGCUGAGUUCUAGGCCCACCUCCUGGUCAGCUGGAAGCAGCGUACAUACUGUAACCGACUGUACAGUGACAUGACCUGGCUGUGCUCUUCUCCACCUCCUCUAUCGGGUUCAGAGCAGCUAUCCUCACCGUCCUCAGUCCAGGAUGACAAGCAGGACCAGGAGGGUGACAGAGACCAUCCUCUUAAUCCCAUUCUUGGGGACCUUGAGGCACAACUGAGGUCAAAACGAAGGGGAUCACUGAUCACCUUCAGGUCGACUUCAUCAGUUAUGUCUCCAGUGUGAUGUCUAUUGAGGCCUCAGGCUACCAGGACUCACAUGGAUCUGAGGGUGUACAGUGUGCCUUGUGUCAGCUGUCCUUCCCCAGUCUCCCCUACCUCCAGGCCCACCUGCUAGAAAGCUGGGAACACAGGCAGGCCUGCAGCAUCUUAUACAGCCAGAUGAUCAGCUGUUGACCUUCACCUCCAUCGGGAUGGAAGGAUCCAUUCUCACCGUCCUCAGUCCAGGCUGACCGGCAGGACCAGGAGUUUGAUACGACCAACAGUCUUUACCCCGCUGUCAGGGACCUUGAGGCAAAACUGGGGCAGAGGAGAGAUGGUUAUACUGAUCACUUCCAAUCCAGCAUUGUUCACUCUGUCUCCAGUCAAGUUUGUUUUUGUAUGUAAAGGGAGGAAAGGGGAGAAUUGAGCAGAAGACACAUUUCUGUUUGUUUUGUAUUGUAUUAUCUUUUUGUUAAAUAAUAAAGCACAAUGUGGUGUGGUAUAUAGCCAAUAUACCACAGCAAAUAAUUUUUAGUCGGUACCAUGCAUCACAGUGCCUGGACACAGCUCUUAGCCAUGAUAUAUUGGCAACAUAACAUAAACCCCCAAGAUUCCUUAUUGUAUUGCUGAUGUAUUGAUUAAUUAUACCAUUGUAUAAUAGUGAAAUAUCACUAGCUACCUACUGUGUUGAUAGUAAAGUACUGAGGUCAUGGAUUUAGACAGUGCAAAAUGCAAGAUGUGCUAAUACAGAGCUAAAUUAAUCAAAGGAACAAGCCUAGGCUGAUUGAGACUAUAGUCAUGCUCAAAGGUCAGUUAUUUUGUGAGAUGUUGUCCCACCUUGUUCAUACAAAAGUGUUUCUGAACUGUAUGACCGACAGACUGUCACUGAUCUUGUGUUAGUGUCUUUCUGUCUCUAUUUGCAAAUAUUAAUAAACAGUAUUUGUGUUAAAGAGUAUUUUGAUCUCUGCCUUAUCUAGAAGGAGUUCUAAUCGAUGGAAUUGCCAUCACAGAAGAUAAAUCUUUUUUUGAACCAAGUGUUUCUUUUUUUGUUCUACUUUGUUGUGAAGUUUGGUUUUUCAUUUGGAAUUUAAGCAUGACUUAUGUAUGCAGGAUUGGGCACACUUCCAUUUAAAUUCAAACAGUGAAGUAAAAAAAUAGUGUUUCUACUUGAAUUUAUUCUCUUAGGAAGCACUAGAGAAAAUGAAAAUGAUAUUCGAAUUUGUUUUUGGUUACUGAAUUGACUGAAAGACAUAGGAAUUGACCCCAAGCUUAUAGCUACUAUAUUUACUAUUUGCUACUCUUUAUAAAUUGUGACCAUAUGUAAACUAAAGAGUUCCAAAUAAAGUAAUUCAUAU
ensembl:lncRNA